UAGCUGUAAUGGCCGAAGGGAAACUGUCGCGCCCUCGUCUGCGCCCCGAUCCACUUCACGUGACCACGACCUUGACGCCUGGUUCGAAUCCUCGAGUCGCGACUUUUAUUCCUCGGAGUAAAGGUUCUCCCGCACUCGUGCUGAGUAAUCCACGAACGGCUGCGGCGCGCUAAGACAUGGAAGAGACGCUUGAGGGAAGCAAUUCUGCAGAGGCCUUCCACUCGGGGAUGGCGGCACCAGAUCACGUCGGCGUGCGGGUCGCGGGGAGGACAUUUGACAGUUGACCUUUUUUU
rnacentral:SRP_RNA from 1 species